rnacentral:rRNA from 1 species
GACGAACGCUGGCGGCGUGCUUAACACAUGCAAGUCGAACGGAAAGGCCCUGCUUUUGUGGGGUGCUCGAGUGGCGAACGGGUGAGUAACACGUGAGUAACCUGCCCUUGACUUUGGGAUAACUUCAGGAAACUGGGGCUAAUACCGGAUAGGAGCUCCUGCUGCAUGGUGUGGGUUGGAAAGUUUCGGCGGUUGGGGAUGGACUCGCGGCUUAUCAGCUUGUUGGUGGGGUAGUGGCUUACCAAGGCUUUGACGGGUAGCCGGCCUGAGAGGGUGACCGGCCACAUUGGGACUGAGAUACGGCCCAGACUCCUACGGGAGGCAGCAGUGGGGAAUAGUGCACAAGGGGCGGAAGCCUGAUGCAGCAACGCCGCGUGCGGUAUGACGGCCUUCGGGUUGUAAACCGCUUUCGCCUUUGACGAAGCGUGAGUGACGGUAAUGGGUAAAGAAGCACCGGCUAACUACGUG